rnacentral:rRNA from 1 species
UACGUAGGGUGCAAGCGUUGUCCGGAAUUAUUGGGCGUAAAGAGCUCGUAGGCGGUUUGGCAAGUCGGGUGUGAAAUUUCGAGGCUCAACCUCGAAACGCCACUCGAUACUGCCAUGACUGGAGUCCGGUAGAGGAGUGCGGAAUUCCUGGUGUAGCGGUGAAAUGCGCAGAUAUCAGGAGGAACACCAACGGCGAAGGCAGCACUCUGGGCCGGUACUGACGCUGAGGAGCGAAAGCGUGGGGAGCAAACAGG